UGGGGAAUUUUGGACAAUGGGCGAAAGCCUGAUCCAGCAAUGCCGCGUGUGUGAAGAAGGCCUUCGGGUUGUAAAGCACUUUUGUCCGGAAAGAAAUCCUUGGCUCUAAUGCAGUCGGGGGAUGACGGUACCGGAAGAAUAAGCACCGGCUAACUACGUGCCAGCAGCCGCGGUAAUACGUAGGGUGCAAGCGUUAAUCGGAAUUACUGGGCGUAAAGCGUGCGCAGGCGGUUUGCUAAGACCGAUGUGAAAUCCCCGGGCUCAACCUGGGAACUGCAUUGGUGACUGGCAGGCUAGAGUAUGGCAGAGGGGGGUAGAAUUCCACGUGUAGCAGUGAAAUGCGUAGAGAUGUGGAGGAAUACCGAUGGCGAAGGCAGCCCCCUGGGCCAAUACUGACGCUCAUGCACGAAAGCGUGGGGAGCAAACAGGAUUAGAUACCCUGGUAGUCCACGCCCUAAACGAUGUCAACUAGUUGUUGGGGAUUCAUUUCCUUAGUAACGUAGCUAACGCGUGAAGUUGACCGCCUGGGGAGUACGGUCGCAAGAUUAAAACUCAAAGGAAUUGACGGGGU
rnacentral:rRNA from 1 species